rnacentral:rRNA from 1 species
UCUGGGACAAGCCCUGGAAACGGGGUCUAAUACCGGAUACCACUCCUGCCUGCAUGGGCGGGGGUUGAAAGCUCCGGCGGUGAAGGAUGAGCCCGCGGCCUAUCAGCUUGUUGGUGGGGUAAUGGCCUACCAAGGCGACGACGGGUAGCCGGCCUGAGAGGGCGACCGGCCACACUGGGACUGAGACACGGCCCAGACUCCUACGGGAGGCAGCAGUGGGGAAUAUUGCACAAUGGGCGAAAGCCUGAUGCAGCGACGCCGCGUGAGGGAUGACGGCCUUCGGGUUGUAAACCUCUUUCAGCAGGGAAGAAGCGAAAGUGACGGUACCUGCAGAAGAAGCGCCGGCUAACUACGUGCCAGCAGCCGCGGUAAUACGUAGGGCGCAAGCGUUGUCCGGAAUUAUUGGGCGUAAAGAGCUCGUAGGCGGCUUGUCACGUCGGAUGUGAAAGCCCGAGGCUUAACCUCGGGUCUGCAUUCGAUACGGGCUAGCUAGAGUGUGGUAGGGGAGAUCGGAAUUCCUGGUGUAGCGGUGAAAUGCGCAGAUAUCAGGAGGAACACCGGUGGCGAAGGCGGAUCUCUGGGCCAUUACUGACGCUGAGGAGCGAAAGCGUGGGGAGCGAACAGGAUUAGAUACCCUGGUAGUCCACGCCGUAAACGUUGGGAACUAGGUGUUGGCGACAUUCCACGUCGUCGGUGCCGCAGCUAACGCAUUAAGUUCCCCGCCUGG